rnacentral:rRNA from 1 species
UGCAGCGACGCCGCGUGAGGGAUGACGGCCUUCGGGUUGUAAACCUCUUUCAGCAGGGAAGAAGCGAAAGUGACGGUACCUGCAGAAGAAGCGCCGGCUAACUACGUGCCAGCAGCCGCGGUAAUACGUAGGGCGCAAGCGUUGUCCGGAAUUAUUGGGCGUAAAGAGCUCGUAGGCGGCUUGUCACGUCGGUUGUGAAAGCCCGGGGCUUAACCCCGGGUCUGCAGUCGAUACGGGCAGGCUAGAGUUCGGUAGGGGAGAUCGGAAUUCCUGGUGUAGCGGUGAAAUGCGCAGAUAUCAGGAGGAACACCGGUGGCGAAGGCGGAUCUCUGGGCCGAUACUGACGCUGAGGAGCGAAAGCGUGGGGAGCGAACAGGAUUAGAUACCCUGGUAGUCCACGCCGUAAACGGUGGGCACUAGGUGUGGGCAACAUUCCACGUUGUCCGUGCCGCAGCUAACGCAUUAAGUGCCCCGCCUGGGGAGUACGGCCGCAAGGCUAAAACUCAAAGGAAUUGACGGGGGCCCGCACAAGCGGCGGAGCAUGUGGCUUAAUUCGACGCAACGCGAAGAACCUUACCAAGGCUUGACAUACACCGGAAAGCAUCAGAGA